UACGUAGGGGGCAAGCGUUGUUCGGAAUUACUGGGCGUAAAGGGCGCGUAGGCGGCUCGGCAAGUCGGGAGUGAAAGCCCGGGGCUCAACCCCGGAACGGCUCUCGAAACUGCCGGGCUCGAGUGCGGAAGAGGCAACCGGAAUUCCCAGUGUAGCGGUGAAAUGCGUAGAUAUUGGGAAGAACACCGAUGGCGAAGGCAGCCAUCUGGACCGGCACUGACGCUGAGGCGCGAAAGCGUGGGGAGCAAACAGG
rnacentral:rRNA from 1 species